rnacentral:rRNA from 1 species
UGUGACCUCAAAUCAGGUAGGACUACCCGCUGAACUUAAGCAUAUCAAUAAGCGGAGGAAAAGAAACUAACAAGGAUUCCCCUAGUAACUGCGAGUGAAGCGGGAAAAGCUCAAAUUUAAAAUCUGGCAGUCCUUUAACUGCCCGAGUUGUAAUCUAGAGAAGUGUUAUCUGCGCUGGACCGUGU